ACUUGAAUAGCUUAUUUUAGAGCGUGACACUGAAGAUGUUAAUGAGGUAUAUAAUACCUUUAAGUA
rnacentral:tRNA from 1 species